rnacentral:lncRNA from 1 species
GGGAGGGAGAAGGAAAAGUGUGAGAUUUCUACUUUUUAGUUUUUAUCCUAUUGUGGCAUAUAUGAAUUCUCAAACAUUAUCUGAAUAAAUUUUCCACUCUUGGAAAGGUAGAUUUAGCCUCAAGUUGUUUUAGUCUCCAGGAGGCUGCCAGCCCCUCCUCUUAUUUAAUUCUGAGUUUUGGGGGCCACCCUAGAGGGAAUUCCCUUUUUUUUUUUUUUUUACCCCCCAGGGGGGUAGUUGGGAGUGAGACUAUAGGCCAUAAAGAAUGGGACUGCAUUGGACCAAAAUAAAUGGGAAAAUCGUGGUUUGAAAAGAAGCUUUUGGGAAGUGAUGAGUCAUUUUGCACCAGGUAAUAGGGGAAAAUUGCGUGACCUCCAGCAAACACAUGAAUGGUUAUUUCCUGGAGCCGGAAGCACUUGGGGGUCGUGGUAUUUCCCCCCAAGUUUCCUUCUCCACUGAAAUGCCACACUAAUGCUUGUUGGAUUC